AUGCUGCCCCCAAACACGUGGAUGGAGAUGGGGCCGAGCUCGUCGUGCCCCGGGCUGGCCCGUCCCCUCCUGCCAGCCCGCAGCCUUGGGGAGGGGUCCCUGCGUCCCCCCGCCUCCGUCCCCUGCUCCGGCCGGGCACGCGCAGCACCACCGCCCUCCUUUUGGGAAGGACCUGGGCUCCAGCCCAGCAGCGCGUUGAGCAUCGCCCAAGGGGGAUCCGGGUGCUCGGACCUCCCGCUUGUACCCGGGGGGAGCGGGGGGCUGCAGCGGGGUCCCUGCAGGGUCCCUGUGUCCCAGCCGGGCAGGGCGACCUCAGGGCUCCCCGGCUGCCACCGCAGCGCUGCCACGCGCGGGGACGCUGCGGGGGGGCGGCCGGAGGCUCGGCCCAGUGGGGUUUUCCUAGGCGGGGGGACACCAAGCCACUGGCACGGGACACGCAAGGAGGGCAUCCCGCAUCUCCCGCGCCCCACGGGAGCUCCUGGAGCGCGGCCAGCACCGAGGGAGGAGGCAGGGCUGAUGGGGACGCAGAGGACGGCGACACCGCGGGCUGGGACAACAGGGAAACGGGAGGAGAAGGGCAAACGGCCCCCGAAGGUGGGGAAGCCCUCGCCAGCUCCGUCCUUCCCUGCAAACGCGGCUGUCUCUCAGCUCCCCGCAACCGCGCUGCACCCCGGGACGGCCGAGCGCGAGGCAGCCGCUCUUCCCGAUCGGCUGAGCAGCCUCCCGCUUCCUCCAGCUCCUCCUGCCCCCGGCCCGAGGGCUCCUGGAAAGGCUGGGAGAGCUGCACGCAGCCAUGCACAGUUGUGCACAGCCAUGCACAGCCGCACACAGUCGCACGCAGAGCAGCGCGCGGGAGCCCUCGCCUGGCGACUGUCAGAUCCAACUCCGGCACUCGGCUCCUUGCACACGCCGCCGGACAGCGUGCCGAAGGGUUGCCCGCUGUACGGCAGCGCCUCGGCAUCCUGCCUGGGGAGGAAGGCGGAAAGCUCCUCCGAUCGCUGCCGGUUGCACCAGCUGCAGGGCUUUUCUUUUUUUUUUCUUUUUUACAUUUGCCUUCUGGAUCUCAAGCCUUUAGGACUCGUCUUCCACCUUUUCUCCACUGCAGAAAGAUCUGGGAGUUUCCUUUCUCAAAGCACGUAA
ensembl:lncRNA